CCUACGGGGGGCAGCAGUGGGGAAUAUUGGGCAAUGGAGGCAACUCUGACCCAGCAAUGCCGCGUGAGUGAUGAAGGUAAUUUUAUUGUAAAGCUCUUUUCUUUGGAACGAAUCAAUGACGGUACCAAAGGAAUAAGACCCGGCUAACUCCGUGCGAGCAGCCAAGGUAAUACGUAGGGGGCAAGCGUUGAUCGGAAGGACUGGGGGUAAAGGGUGUGUAGGUGGUUGGAGAAGUUAGAGGGGUAAUACCCAGGGCUUAAAUCGGGCUCUGGAUGUAAAACUGUUAUACGUGAGUAAUGGAGAGGAAAGUGGAAUGCCUAGUGUAGCGGUGGAAUGCGUAGAUAUUAGGAGGAACAUCAGUGGCGAAGGCGACUAUCUGGACAGCAACUGACACUGAGGCACGAAAGCGUGGGGAGCAAACAGGAUUAGAUACCCGAGUAGUC
rnacentral:rRNA from 1 species